rnacentral:rRNA from 1 species
UACGUAGGUCCCGAGCGUUAUCCGGAUUUAUUGGGCGUAAAGCGAGCGCAGGCGGUUUUUUAAGUCUGAUGUGAAAGCCUUCGGCUCAACCGAAGAAGUGCAUCGGAAACUGGGAAACUUGAGUGCAGAAGAGGACAGUGGAACUCCAUGUGUAGCGGUGAAAUGCGUAGAUAUGUGGAAGAACACCAGUGGCGAAGGCGGCUGUCUGGGCUGUAACUGACGCUGAUGCGCGAAAGUAUGGGUAGCAAACAGG